AUUCCAGCUCCAAUAGCGUAUAUUAAAGUUGUUGUGGUUAAAAGCUCGUAGUUGGAUUUCGACGGGUAUAGGUUGGUUUGAAUUGCUUCAAUACUGACUUUUUUACCCGUGUGUUUUGCCAGAAUUUAACGGGUGAUCUUCGCCGAUUGUCUGUUAGAACUGGCAGGUUUACUUUGAAAAAAUUAGAGUGCUCAAAGCAAGCUUGAUUGCUUGAAUAUUCGUGCAUGGAAUAAUAGAAUAGGAAGUCGUUUCUAUUUUGUUGGUUUUCGGAAAUCGACUUAAUGAUUAAUAGGGACAGUCGGGGGCAUUUGUAUUCAAACGACAGAGGUGAAAUUCUUGGACCGUUUGAAGACAAACUACUGCGAAAGCAUUUGCCAAGAAUGUUUUCAUUA
rnacentral:rRNA from 1 species